GGGCCCGCACAAGCGGUGGAGCAUGUGGUUUAAUUCGAUGCAACGCGAAGAACCUUACCAGGACUUGACAUACUACAAAUUCUUUUGAGAAAGAGAAGUGCCUUCGGGAAUGUAGAUACAGGUGGUGCAUGGCUGUCGUCAGCUCGUGUCGUGAGAUGUUGGGUUAAGUCCCGCAACGAGCGCAACCCUUAUUUUUAGUUACCAAUUCGUUGGGUUCUCUAGAAAGACUGCCGGUGACAAACCGGAGGAAGGUGAGGAUGACGUCAAGUCAGCAUGCCCCUUAUGUCCUGGGCUACACACGUGCUACAAUGGUUAAGACAAAGAGUCGCGAGCUCGUGAGAGUCAGCUAAUCUACUAAACUUAGCCUAAGUUCAGAUUGUAGCUGCAACUCGCCUACAUG
rnacentral:rRNA from 1 species